rnacentral:rRNA from 1 species
GACGAACCUUGCAAACGUUAUUCGGAAUCACUGGGCUUAAAGGGUGCGUAGGCUGUGCAGAAAGUUGGGUGUGAAAUACCUCGGCUUAACCGAGGAAUUGCGCCCAAAACUACUGUGCUCGAGGAAGAUAGAGGUGAGCGGAACUUAGGGUGGAGCGGUGAAAUGCGUUGAUAUCCUAAGGAACACCGGUGGCGAAAGCGGCUCACUGGAUCUUAUCUGACGCUGAGGCACGAAAGCGUGGGGAGCGAACAGG